rnacentral:rRNA from 1 species
CACGUAGGGGGCGAGCGUUGUCCGGAUUUAUUGGGCGUAAAGAGCUCGUAGGCGGUUUGGCAAGUCGGGUGUGAAAUUUCGAGGCUCAACCUCGAAACGCCACUCGAUACUGCCAUGACUGGAGUCCGGUAGAGGAGUGCGGAAUUCCUGGUGUAGCGGUGAAAUGCGUAGAGAUCGGCAGGAACACCCAAGGGGAAGCCAGCUGGCUGGGCAUUUGCUGACGCUCAUGUGCGACAGCGUGGGGAGCGAACUGG